rnacentral:Y_RNA from 1 species
GACUGGCCCACAGGUGGCGAGUUAUCUCAAUUGUUCACAGUGGGUUACAGGUCGAGCUCCUUGUUCUACUCUUUCUGCCGCUCACCACUGCACCUGACACGUCUUAA